UGGGGGAUUUUGCACAAUGGGCGCAAGCCUGAUGCAGCGACGCCGCGUGAGGGAUGAAGGCCUUCGGGUUGUAAACCUCUUUCGCUGGGUUGAAAGGCCAUGUUUUGGGUGUGGUUGAUUUGAACUGGUAAAGAAGUACCGGCUAACUACGUGCCAGCAGCCGCGGUAAUACGUAGGGUACUAGCGUUGUCCGGAUUUAUUGGGCGUAAUGGGCUUGUAGGUGGUUUGUCGCGUCUGUCGUGACAUCCUGUGGCUUAACCAUGGGCUUGCGGUGGGUACGGGAAGGCUUGAGUGCGGUAGGGGAGGCUGGAAUUCCUGGGGGAGCGGGGGAAUGCGCAGAUAUAAGGAGAAACACCGGUGGCGGAGGCGGGUCUCUGGGCCGUUACUGACACUGAGGAGCGAAAGCGUGGGGAGCGAACAGG
rnacentral:rRNA from 1 species